AUGCCCAGUGAUUAUAAAAAGACGCGUUAUUCUGAGGGGAAAACGCGCUACCAGUCUUUUCUCGUGACUUUCACUCGUUCUUUCAUCUCCUCCAUCUUUCUGUCCUCCCUCCACUCCCGCUCGUUCUGUCUCGCUCAAACUGGUAGCCGGUCCGCUGACUGCGAUUAUGAGAUAUGAGGGCAU